rnacentral:rRNA from 1 species
UCGAGAAUCUUCGGCAAUGGGCGAAAGCCUGACCGAGCAAUGCCGCGUGCGGGAUGAAGGCCCUCGGGUUGUAAACCGCGAAAGUAAGGAGGAAGGACCUGCGAAGAGCAGGUUUUGACCGAUCUACAGUAAGGACGGGCUAAGUUCGUGCCAGCAGCCGCGGUAACACGAACCGUCCAAACGUUAUUCGGAAUUAUUGGGUUUAAAGGGUGUGUAGGCGGAUUAAUAAGUCAGUGGUGAAAACCUGCAGCUUAACUGUAGAACUGCCAUUGAUACUGUUAGUCUUGAGUACGGUCAAGGUAGGCGGAAUGUGUAAUGUAGCGGUGAAAUGCGUAGAUAUUACACAGAACACCGAUUGCGAAGGCAGCUUACUGGGCCAUUACUGACGCUGAUGCACGAAAGCGUGGGGAGCGAACA